CCUACGGGUGGCAGCAGUCGAGAAUCAUUCACAAUGGGGGAAACCCUGAUGGUGCGACGCCGCGUGGGGGAAUGAAGGUCUUCGGAUUGUAAACCCCUGUCAUGUGGGGGCAAAUUAAAAAGAUAGUACCACAAGUGAAAGAGACUGCUAACUCUGUACCAGCAGCCUCAGUAAUACAGAGGUCUCACGCGUUGUUCGGAAGUACUGGGCGUAAAGCGUGCGUAGGCUGUUUCGUAAGUCGCGUGUGAAAGGCGCGGGCUCAACCCGGGGAUGGCACAUGAUACUGGGAGACUAGAGUAAUUGAGGGGGAACCGGAAUUCUCGGUGUAGCAGUGAAAUGCGUAGAUA
rnacentral:rRNA from 1 species